rnacentral:rRNA from 1 species
AACGAACGCUGGCGGCAGGCUUAACACAUGCAAGUCGAGCGCCCCGCAAGGGGAGCGGCAGACGGGUGAGUAACGCGUGGGAAUCUACCCAUCUCUACGGAAUAACGCAUGGAAACGUGUGCUAAUACCGUAUACGUCCUUCGGGAGGAAGAUUUAUCGGAGAUGGAUGAGCCCGCGUUGGAUUAGCUAGUUGGUGGGGUAAAGGCCUACCAAGGCGACGAUCCAUAGCUGGUCUGAGAGGAUGAUCAGCCACACUGGGACUGAGACACGGCCCAGACUCCUACGGGAGGCAGCAGUGGGGAAUAUUGGACAAUGGGCGCAAGCCUGAUCCAGCCAUGCCGCGUGAGUGAUGAAGGCCCUAGGGUUGUAAAGCUCUUUCACCGGUGAAGAUAAUGACGGUAACCGGAGAAGAAGCCCCGGCUAACAUCGUGCCAGCCGCCGCGGUAACAC